rnacentral:rRNA from 1 species
AUGCAGUCGAGCGGAUGAAGGGAGCUUGCUCCUGGAUUCAGCGGCGGACGGGUGAGUAAUGCCUAGGAAUCUGCCUGGUAGUGGGGGAUAACGUCCGGAAACGGGCGCUAAUACCGCAUACGUCCUGAGGGAGAAAGUGGGGGAUCUUCGGACCUCACGCUAUCAGAUGAGCCUAGGUCGGAUUAGCUAGUUGGUGGGGUAAAGGCCUACCAAGGCGACGAUCCGUAACUGGUCUGAGAGGAUGAUCAGUCACACUGGAACUGAGACACGGUCCAGACUCCUACGGGAGGCAGCAGUGGGGAAUAUUGGACAAUGGGCGAAAGCCUGAUCCAGCCAUGCCGCGUGUGUGAAGAAGGUCUUCGGAUUGUAAAGCACUUUAAGUUGGGAGGAAGGGCAGUAAGUUAAUACCUUGCUGUUUUGACGUUACCAACAGAAUAAGCACCGGCUAACUUCGUGCCAGCAGCCGCGGUAAUACGAAGGGUGCAAGCGUUAAUCGGAAUUACUGGGCGUAAAGCGCGCGUAGGUGGUUCAGCAAGUUGGAUGUGAAAUCCCCGGGCUCAACCUGGGAACUGCAUCCAAAACUACUGAGCUAGAGUACGGUAGAGGGUGGUGGAAUUUCCUGUGUAGCGGUGAAAUGCGUAGAUAUAGGAAGGAACACCAGUGGCGAAGGCGACCACCUGGACUGAUACUGACACUGAGGUGCGAAAGCGUGGGGAGCAAACAGGAUUAGAUACCCUGGUAGUCCACGCCGUAAACGAUGUCGACUAGCCGUUGGGAUCCUUGAGAUCUUAAUGGCGCAGCUAACGCGAUAAGUCGACCGCCUGGGGAGUACGGCCGCAAGGUUAAACUCCAAUGAAUUGACGGGGGCCCGCACAAGCGGUGGAACAUGUGGUUUAAUUCCAAGCACGCGAGAACCUUACCUGGGCUUGACUUGCUGAGACUUUCCAGAGAUGGAUUG